rfam:Ictidomys tridecemlineatus contig075092, whole genome shotgun sequence.
GGGAACAUAGCUCAGUUGGUAGAGUGCUUACUUCACAUGCACAAGGCCCUGGGUUCAAUCCCCAGUGCCACCA